CACGGUUUCAUCCCUGCAAUCUCCAAACAAAACAGGAAAACUGAAUGAAUUAUGUUUUUAGCAACCGUAUCUAAAAGAAAUAAAAGACAUCUUACUUAACAAAUUAAAACCUUUUCUUUUGCAGAUUCCGACGACGACGAAGCACCCGAGGACCAACGACAACAGAAUGAUGCGGACGAAGCCUAACUGAUGUAAGUAAAAUCCUCUUCAAUAACACAUCACACUAUUAUCGUUCCCCAAUCUCACAAACUUAAGCUCUAAUCAGGCCAGGGAUCCCACAGGUGAUGCUGUCCCGACAACGGAGAAAAAAGAAAGAAAGAUAACCUAACGUUUUUUUUUUUAAUUUUCAGUUUUUAAGUUCAAAUCAGGUUUUUGACAUAGAGCCCAACAUAAUUUGAGCUCAAACAUUUUAAAUCCACAAUUACUUUUUUAUAAUGUAAAAACGUCAACCUUCGUUUAUGUUUUGUUAAACUAUUUUAAUCUUUAUGUUUUGUUAAACUAUUUCACACAGGGGGCAGAUCUCCUUAGAAGGAGAGCCACUCGCC
rnacentral:lncRNA from 1 species